AGCUCUUGUCAGCGACCCAUUUUGUGAAUGGAGACGUUUCUGCUUUGAAGUCAUAAUUUAUCCUGCAAGAGCUGCUAAAAGAAGCACUUUUAAACUCAGAUCUGAGCGAAGGCUGGGAAUUGGUUGUUGCAAGUAGAAAAUGAGUUACAGAUGUACAAAGACAUUAGAAGGCUGCCUGCAACAUAGAAGCAAAAUGCUCCAGGAGGCUGACCUGAAUGACAUACAUCAGUGAACUCCUUUGGCCUCUGUCAGACCCACCAAAUCAGAAAAUCUUACACUCCUACAAGAAAUUCAUGGAACAUAGACCAAUACUGAGCCACUGAUUCAGCACAUCCUCUGUGGAGACCAACCAGCCACUUGGUGGCAAGAGAUUACAUUGGAACCCUCUCGUCUCAGAAGGAGCAGUGUUUCGUGUUGACUGAAUCAACAUGUGCACCAGAUACAAGACUCCCUUUUCUGCCUGGAAUAAUCUGCCAGUAUGACUCUCAAAAGGCUUAACUCACGGACAUAGGAUCCCAUGUAGCACUGCAUUGGAUUGAGAGAUAGAGAACUCAGUUAAAAACAAGGAGGUGUGGCAGUGGGCCCUUGACUCUGGUAUCCCCUGGCCUUAUCACAUCCUAUGUCACUCAGAAGUUGAGAUCUGAAAGAGUGAAAAAAAAAGCUGCUUACUAGCCACUGAGGACCCAGCUUGGAGAUGAUAAGCUGUGAAGAUGGGCGCUGUUCUCCAGACAUAAUAUAUAUGUCCUAAAUCAACAACCAUUCCCUAGAGCUGUGUCCCCAGUAGAUAGCAAGUACGAGUCUGGAAAUCAAAGAGUAGAAAUAGGCAUAGCCCGGCUUAUAUCACUUCAAGUGACCAAUGUAGGGAAUUUAUGCUUCUUACUACACUCCCAGGCUUUUGUGGUUUAGAAGUCCUAGUUUCUAAAGGGAGAACAUUUCCACCAGGAAACUCAGCAGGAGACCCAUUAAGCUUUAAGCUAUGCUUACUGAAUGUCGCUCAUGCCAAAGCCUAUCAGAAAAGGGAAAUAGCCUUCAUCCCAGCAGGAGUAAUGGGCCCUGAUGAUCAGGAGGAGAUGGGGCUGCUGUUACUCCCUGGGGUUCUCUUGGAACCCUCUUGCCAAAUUUCAACAAAAAAUGGACAAAUGCAGUGGUCAUGGCCUGAGAAAGGCUCAGAUCUUACUGUUGAAGGUGGAGGUGUCCCCAACAGGUAAGCCUCUUAGACCAUCAGAGGUGUUAGCCAAGGGUGAGGAGAAUCUAGAAUGAGUAGGGGAGGAGAGAAAUGAUGUGUGUAGUUACCUUGAAACUGCAGCAUGGGAGUUGGGGGGGUUCUGGGGCUAUAAUUCCUGUCACUGGCCUUCCUCUUGUUAAGUUUACCUAGGAAAACAGGCCAGCGAGAAUCUUGGAGGGGCUGUUCCCAAGUUUUGCUAUAAAAUGAAAGUGAAUCCAAGUGGCCUGGGGCUGAAUCUGAGUUCAUGCUGUGGGCACUGCCCAGAUGCCUUGUCAGAGCUAAGAUCAUUCUCCCAGCUACUGAGAGUGUGGGUAACCUGUGAUGCUUAGCUGAGUCCCUCUCCAGGAAUUGCCUUUAGCAAAAAAUGAGCCACCUCUCUUCACCCAGACCACACUCCCCUCCCCAGGGAAUGUACAGCCCAAUUCAGUGUGUGGUCAGUGCAGAAGCAGAAAGUCUCAAUUUGCCUGCAUCUAGUGAGACAUCUAGGAGGGUUCAUCCUACUCCCUGAACUCCCCAUGGGGUUGACUGAGGCCUUCGUCACAACUUCAUUGCAGUUCAUACCUCCCUUUGCCCCAUCCCACUUCUUUCAUUCUGCAUGGGCAUCGAUCUUGAUCGAGGCCACUCCCCAGAACACUCCCUGCCUGCAUGUCUCUCUCAGGAGUCUGCUGCCUGGGGAUUGGAUUUAAGACACAUGCUGGUCUUCACCUAGGAGUAAUUUCCCUGUCCACACUGUUGAUCAAAUUUCCUUGAAUUAUCUUAAUUUGAGUGUGCCCUCUGAAUUUUGAUGGGAUCUGGACUGACGGGGCAGGGUAUUGGGCUAGGGACAUGACUGGCAGGUAAGUCUGCCUAAUUCUGAGGCUCAGUAUUAGUAGGACUCUUUACUGACACAUGGAAUUUGUAUUCUCAAAUGUACCAAAAUCAGCUUACUAAAGAUAUUUUGGUCUCUACCUU